UGGGGAAUUUUGGACAAUGGGCGAAAGCCUGAUCCAGCAAUGCCGCGUGUGUGAAGAAGGCCUUCGGGUUGUAAAGCACUUUUGUCCGGAAAGAAAUCCUUGGCUCUAAUACAGUCGGGGGAUGACGGUACCGGAAGAAUAAGCACCGGCUAACUACGUGCCAGCAGCCGCGGUAAUACGUAGGGUGCAAGCGUUAAUCGGAAUUACUGGGCGUAAAGCGUGCGCAGGCGGUUUGCUAAGACCGAUGUGAAAUCCCCGGGCUCAACCUGGGAACUGCAUUGGUGACUGGCAGGCUAGAGUAUGGCAGAAGGGGGUAGAAUUCCACGUGUAGCAGUGAAAUGCGUAGAGAUGUGGAGGAAUACCGAUGGCGAAGGCAGCCCCCUGGGCCAAUACUGACGCUCAUGCACGAAAGCGUGGGGAGCAAACAGGAUUAGAUACCCUGGUAGUCCACGCCCUAAACGAUGUCAACUAGUUGUUGGGGAUUCAUUUCCUUAGUAACGUAGCUAACGCGUGAAGUUGACCGCCUGGGGAGUACGGUCGCAAGAUUAAAACUCAAAGGAAUUGACGGGGUCAUAGCUGUUUCC
rnacentral:rRNA from 1 species